UACGAAGGGGCUAGACGUUGUCCGGAAUUAUUGGGCGUAAAGAGCUCGUAGGCGGUUUGUUGCGUCGGCUGUGAAAUCCCGAGGCUCAACCUCGGGUCUGCAGUCGAUACGAGCAAACUAGAGUGUUGCAGGGGAGACUGGAAUUCCUGGUGUAGCGGUGAAAUGCGCAGAUAUCAGGAGGAACACCGGUGGCGAAGGCGGGUCUCUGGGCAACAACUGACGCUGGAGGAGCGAAAGCGUGGGGAGCGAACAGG
rnacentral:rRNA from 1 species